rnacentral:rRNA from 1 species
GCUAGCUACAGGCUUAACACAUGCAAGUCGAGGGGCAGCAUUUUAGUUUGCUUGCAAACUGAAGAUGGCGACCGGCGCACGGGUGAGUAGCACGUAUCCAACCUGCCGAUAACUCCGGAAUAGCCUUUCGAAAGAAAGAUUAAUACCGGAUGGCAUACGAAUAUCGCAUGAUAUUUUUAUUAAAGAAUUUCGGUUAUCGAUGGGGAUGCGUUCCAUUAGUUUGUUGGCGGGGUAACGGCCCACCAAGACUACGAUGGAUAGGGGUUCUGAGAGGAAGGUCCCCCACAUUGGAACUGAGACACGGUCCAAACUCCUACGGGAGGCAGCAGUGAGGAAUAUUGGUCAAUGGGCGCGAGCCUGAACCAGCCAAGUAGCGUGAAGGAUGAAGGCUCUAUGGGUCGUAAACUUCUUUUAUAUGGGAAUAAAGUUUUCCACGUGUGGAAUUUUGUAUGUACCAUAUGAAUAAGGAUCGGCUAACUCCGUGCCAGCAGCCGCGGUAAUACGGAGGAUCCGAGCGUUAUCCGGAUUUAUUGGGUUUAAAGGGAGCGUAGGUGGAUUGUUAAGUCAGUUGUGAAAGUUUGCGGCUCAACCGUAAAAUUGCAGUUGAAACUGGCAGUCUUGAGUACAGUAGAGGUGGGCGGAAUUCGUGGUGUAGCGGUGAAAUGCUUAGAUAUCACGAAGAACUCCGAUUGCGAAGGCAGCUCACUAGACUGUCACUGACACUGAUGCUCGAAAGUGUGGGUAUCAAACAGGAUUAGAUACCCUGGUAGUCCACACAGUAAACGAUGAAUACUCGCUGUUUGCGAUAUACAGUAAGCGGCCAAGCGAAAGCAUUAAGUAUUCCACCUGGGGAGUACGCCGGCAACGGUGAAACUCAAAGGAAUUGACGGGGGCCCGCACAAGCGGAGGAACAUGUGGUUUAAUUCGAUGAUACGCGAGGAACCUUACCCGGGCUUAAAUUGCAACAGAAUAUAUUGGAAACAGUAUAGCCGUAAGGCUGUUGUGAAGGUGCUGCAUGGUUGUCGUCAGCUCGUGCCGUGAGGUGUCGGCUUAAGUGCCAUAACGAGCGCAACCCUUAUCUUUAGUUACUAACAGGUCAUGCUGAGGACUCUAGAGAGACUGCCGUCGUAAGAUGUGAGGAAGGUGGGGAUGACGUCAAAUCAGCACGGCCCUUACGUCCGGGGCUACACACGUGUUACAAUGGGGGGUACAGAAGGCGGCUACCUGGUGGCAGGAUGCUAAUCCCAAAAACCUCUCUCAGUUCGGAUCGAAGUCUGCAACCCGACUUCGUGAAGCUGGAUUCGCUAGUAAUCGCGCAUCAGCCAUGGCGCGGUGAAUACGUUCCCGGGCCUUGUACACACCGCCCGUCAAGCCAUGAAAGCCGGGGGUACCUGAAGUACGUAACCGCAAGGAGCGUCCUAGGGUAAAACUGGUAAUUGGGGC